GGAUGUGAGGGUGAUCUGGCUAUGACAUCUGUCACCCUGUUGAUCAACAGGGUUGAUUUCAGCUGAUCUGGCUGGCUAGGUGCAUGUCCUCUUCCUCCCUUACCACUCCGUGUGCCUCUCUUUCAGCUGUGAAUUCGGUCGAAGAGGUCAACCUUCCCGAUAGAAGAGGACCCUCCUCCCGUGAUGGGUAUACGGGUAGGUGUGCUCCCCUGCUAGAAUCUCCAAAAAAGCUCUCAAGCUGGAGAUCUUGGGUGCUGCUCAAGGGCAAU
rnacentral:snRNA from 1 species